CCUACGGGGGGCUGCAGUGGGGAAUAUUGGACAAUGGGCGAAAGCCUGAUCCAGCCAUGCCGCGUGUGUGAAGAAGGCCUUCGGGUUGUAAAGCACUUUCAGUGGGGAAGAAAGCCUUGGGGCUAAUACCCUCGAGGAAGGACAUCACCCACAGAAGAAGCACCGGCUAACUCCGUGCCAGCAGCCGCGGUAAUACGGAGGGUGCGAGCGUUAAUCGGAAUUACUGGGCGUAAAGCGCGCGUAGGCGGUCUGAUAAGCCGGUUGUGAAAGCCCCGGGCUCAACCUGGGAACGGCAUCCGGAACUGUCAGGCUAGAGUGCAGGAGAGGAAGGUAGAAUUCCCGGUGUAGCGGUGAAAUGCGUAGAGAUCGGGAGGAAUACCAGUGGCGAAGGCGGCCUUCUGGACUGACACUGACGCUGAGGUGCGAAAGCGUGGGUAGCAAACAGGACUAGAUACCCUAGUAGUC
rnacentral:rRNA from 1 species